CAUCAUGCCAGGGCAAAUUAUUAUUUCAGGCAACAGCAUGAGGUCCAUCCCCAUGGCUCAGACUUUCUAUAAGCUACAUGCCUACCCAUUUUGUGACUGACUUUUCCACCCUGAGACCUCUGUGGACCAGCCCCUGGAAGAUAUCUUUCUUUUGACACUUGUUUUUCUUUCAGGAAGCCAUGAAGACAUUCACAGGAUCAUAGAAUGUUAGAGCUAGAAGAAAUCUGAACCUGACAAAUACUACGUGCCUAAAAAGUGCUUGUUAACUAUUAUGUUGUUCGUACUCAAUUGAAGUCAUGGCUCUUGAAGAUUUAUACAAGUAGAGAGGAAUGUGAUGAAUAUUAUGGUAAAGGAAUUGAUGCAGAGUGAAAGGAGCCGAAGCAGGAGAACAUUGUACACAGAGACUGAUACACUGUGGUAUAAUCGAAUUUAAAGGACUUGUCCAUUAGUGGCAAUGCAGUGACCCUGAAUAACUUGGAGG
rnacentral:lncRNA from 1 species